UGGGGAAUUUUGGACAAUGGGCGAAAGCCUGAUCCAGCAAUGCCGCGUGUGUGAAGAAGGCCUUCGGGUUGUAAAGCACUUUUGUCCGGAAAGAAAUCCUUGGCUCUAAUACAGUCGGGGGAUGACGGUACCGGAAGAAUAAGCACCGGCUAACUACGUGCCAGCAGCCGCGGUAAUACGUAGGGUGCAAGCGUUAAUCGGAAUUACUGGGCGUAAAGCGUGCGCAGGCGGUUUGCUAAGACCGAUGUGAAAUCCCCGGGCUCAACCUGGGAACUGCAUUGGUGACUGGCAGGCUAGAGUAUGGCAGAGGGGGGUAGAAUUCCACGUGUAGCAGUGAAAUGCGUAGAGAUGUGGAGGAAUACCGAUGGCGAAGGCAGCCCCCAUGGGCCAAUACUGACGCUCAUGCACGAAAGCGUGGGGAGCAAACAGGAUUAGAUACCCUGGUAGUCCACGCCCUAAACGAUGUCAACUAGUUGUUGGGGAUUCAUUUCCUAGUAACGUAGCUAACGCGUG
rnacentral:rRNA from 1 species